GCCAUAGUAGCAUAGUUGGUAAUGCACUUGACUGAAGAUCUCGUUAGUGAUAGGUUCGAAUCCUUCCUAUGGCA